AUGAACGCUGGCGGCGUGCCUCAUCCCUGCCAGUCGAGCGAACAGACGAGGAGCUUGCCCCUCUGACGUUAGCGGCGGACGGGUGAGUAACACGUGGAUAACCUACCUAUAAGACUGGGAUAACUUCGGGAAACCGGAGCUAAUACCGGAUAAUAUAUUGAACCGCAUGGUUCAAUAGUGAAAGACGGUUUUGCUGUCACUUAUAGAUGGAUCCGCGCCGCAUUAGCUAGUUGGUAAGGUAACGGCUUACCAAGGCAACGAUGCGUAGCCGACCUGAGAGGGUGAUCGGCCACACUGGAACUGAGACACGGUCCAGACUCCUACGGGAGGCAGCAGUAGGGAAUCUUCCGCAAUGGGCGAAAGCCUGACGGAGCAACGCCGCGUGAGUGAUGAAGGUCUUCGGAUCGUAAAACUCUGUUAUUAGGGAAGAACAAAUGUGUAAGUAACUAUGCACGUCUUGACGGUACCUAAUCAGAAAGCCACGGCUAACUACGUG
rnacentral:rRNA from 1 species